AAAAUCACCCAAGAAUCGUGGACUCAUACCUAUGUAUGAGUUUACUCCACAAAAACUAGCCAUUUGUGUUUACUCCCUAUUUUCUAAAAGAGUAAACUCCAAACUCUCUCAAGUAUCAUCCUAGUUUUUGUUCUAGAUCUUCAAACUAGUAAGUGUUCUAACCCUUUCAAGUUAGUAUAUCACUUAAUCUAGUGAUUGUACAUCCUUUAAUCCAUUCAUUUAUGUGUUUUGACUAGUUUUUCCAAAACACCAAGAACACACACUAGUGUUUUUGGACUUAAAGUUCAUUUCAAGCUUCCACAAUGUAAGUACUUCUAUCCUAGAGUCAUUUUAAGCUAGCUAUACAUGUUUAUACCAAGUAAAAGUUCCAAUAACACCAAGAACAAGGUGUUCACGGUUUUGGGAGGCUCCAAAAACCGUAAACACCAAAUAUAGUGCCUUAGGGUGCUUUAGGGUGUCUAGAUGCUUCACAAUGCCUUAGGGACUUGUUAAGAUCCAUCCUUAAUGAGUGUAUCACACAAAAAGCACCAAAAUCAUAUAUUUUUAUGUGUUUAUGGUUUGGGGAUCUCCCAAAACCGUAAACACCUUAAAUGUUGUGUAAAUNUAAAUGUCCCAUGGAUGUUCCUUAUGGCUAGAAUCUAACCUAGACUAGUGCCAUGUUUGAGCUAAGGACUUGAAAACCGCCAAAUACCAAACUUAGGAGCUUAAGGUAGUAAACUCAUGAGUUUAAGGUAGUAAACUCAUGGAGAACUGGUCCUUAUACCGCAAACUCCAUUUAGGAGUGUUUUGAUGCCACACAACACUUCCUAAGGCUAAAUCAUGAAGUAGGAAUGCUUGGAAUAGCUUAGAAGACUUCAAACCAACAAAUGGUCAAAAAGUGUAGAGUUUACGACCGUAAACCCUUGAGUUUACUGCCAUAAAAUACUUGGGUAAUGGUCAUGAAAACCAUAAACUCCAAGGGAGUUUACCCUUGAACCCCAAACACACUAGCCUUCCCCUACAACACUUAGAUACAACCCUUGAGACUUAUAACACUUGUGUAAAGUGUUUAGCGUGUCUUAGAGUGUCUUAAAUUUGUUUAUUAGUUGUUUAAAGACUAAUUAUGUAUAUACAUAUAUCCUUAUAUGUUAUUAGGAUCUUUGUGCGUGUCUAAGUCUUCACUUGACACCGAGCACUUAUCCGACACUUCCUUCCGAUCCACUUACUACAGGUGAGUUCAUACCCCUUAAUCAAUCUUUUAACUAUUUUAAAUGNUUUUAUGGGGGGGAUACAAUUAGAAUCAUGCUACUUAUUAUAUCAAUCACAUGUGAUUAAUAAGCAGCAUUUAAAUGAUUUACUACUCAUUAGCCAUUUUACCAAACAGUUUCCUUCAAAUGAUUUUCAUAAACAUUUUAUAUGUUUUAAAACUCCUUAUUACACUGUACAUUUUACUCUGUAUGUUUUAUUUCAAACUCAUUUACAAUUGUGUUUCAAACAAAUGUUUCUUUAUACUAAAUUGUUUUAUCAAACCCAUGCCUUCAAACCGUUUUAUAGAUCGACAUCAAGUCGAUCUUUUCUUAGAUAAUAAUUAUGUUUAAAGGUUUUACAAAACUUAUUUUAUGCUUUUAUAUUAUAAAUUGCAUGCCUCUGUAUGUAUAUUUAUAUAAGUAAUGUCUAAAAGACUUAGGAAGGCUAUCCACCUUGUUUCCUUUUCCUCGAUUUGGAUGUGGUCUAAUAGGAUAUCGGGUACUCAUCCGAAGGUCGUUUAAAUAUUAGUUAUAUAUCAUGUGUACAUAUAUAGUCAUAAAGGGUCUUUCCAGUUCAUCCUAUGCCCUUGGGUAGUAAGGGUAUACAUCCACGUCCAUACGUACCACUUAGAUUACUAGUAAGCUACCAUAGGGGUAGUUCAGGAAGAUACUAGAACCAUUACUAGAACGCGAUAUCAUACAAUGAGUCAGUUCAUUCAUGAGUCAAUACUUUCUAGAACAUUACUAUACAUUACAUGUACAAUUAUACUAGGACGAGAACAUAUACAUCUAUACUAGAACGUUUACAAUUACUAUACUUGCUAGAUAGGGAGAACACACAUUCUAGCUAGCACACGUAGAACUUUACCGUACUCUACUAUAAUAUUUACAUUAUUAUACUUAUAGGAGUACUUGUGCAUAGAUAUAUCAGUAGGAGUCCUAUUACAUUUUAUAUGUAUCGACUCUGUUAUCAAAUCCGUGUUCUUACCUUUACCUUGUGAUAAAAUCACAUAAUCGACGAGAUAGAAUGGAUUAUUAUCCUAGUACCAAAGGAUACGUAUUGAGGGAUUGACCAUUCCUAGAAUCUCUGUUAGCUACAGAGGUAAAAGUACAUCCACGGAUGUCAAACGGUUGGUACCAUUACAGGUACACAAUUAAGGGAUUAACUAUUCCUAUACCCAGCUGUUAGCAACAGAGGUAAGAGUACAUCUACGGAUGGCUUAAAGUUAACAAUGAUAGUUACCCUAGUACAAAAGGGUAAUAUUCAGAACAGUUAGGUCUUGGUAGAAGACUACAUUCAGAACAGUUAGGUCUUGGUAGAAGACUACAUUCAGAACAGUUAGGUCUUGGUAGAAGACUACAUUCAGAACAGUUAGGUCUUGGUAGAAGACUACAUUCAGAACAGUUAGGUCUUGGUAGAAGACUACAUUCAGAACAGUUAGGUCUUGGUAGAAGACUACAUUCAGAACAGUUAGGUCUUGGUAGAAGACUACAUUCAGAACAGUUAGGUCUUGGUAGAAGACUACAUUCAGAACAGUUAGGUCUUGGUAGAAGACUACAUUCAGAACAGUUAGGUCUUGGUAGAAGACUACAUUCAGAACAGUUAGGUCUUGGUAGAAGACACCUUCAUAUACUAGAAGGAAUCAUAGGGAUUCUAGGGUUUUUCAAACACUUACAGUUCAUAUACACUUCAAAUACUUACAAUACAUAGACUUACAAAUUCUUACAUACAAAUUAAGAACCAAAAUACUUAUGAUCUCACCAGCUUCAAAGCUGAUACUCGCUUUCAAAAUUACUUGUAUCCUCAGGUCAUCAUAGACAGGUACCGAUGCAAGGAGAAAGGAAGAUGGAGCUUGUUCAAGACUCAUCUUUCAUUUUGAUUUAUGCUUUAGUGUUUAUCAAAAUUUGACAGAACACACUUGUAUAAUAAUUAUAUUAUUAAUGCAAUGGAUGAUGUUGUUGCUUGUUUACUACUUUUCAUUGUUGUGAUACUAUACAUGACGUCCUCCGCCCCAGAACGUUUCCGCCGUUCUUGGUUUUGGGGUGUGACAGAUUGGUAUCAGAGCAUUGUUUAUAGUGAAUUAAGUAUAUCAACCCAUAAAAGAUAUACUAACUAUAAAUACAUAAGGGAUUAAAAAUACUCUGACCAAGAGUUUAUACUUUAAAUAAUAAAAUAUUUAAUUAAGUAUACGUGCCUGCAUUCAUACUAAAAUCAGUGUCACUAGGACAGUACAAAAGAAUUACGAUUGUUGGGCAACACAGGUGGGCUUAGAGACAUAUGGUCAAAACUAGGAAGAUAUAGCCUGAUCACCUAUAUUAUCCGGGGGUUGACUAGCAUGUGCCUAAGUUUAAUUGUGUGGUUGCAACAAUGCUAAAAUCUUACCAACCCUACCACAAUGAGAACAGUAGAACAUAACAUUAAACUUAAAAUACUAUAGGAGUAUUUGGUGUUACUAUAAGUACUUUAUACUUGAGAACUAAAACGGGAUCUUCAUUAUGAAGUUGAUAGUUGCUAAGUGGAUACACUAAGGCUAUAUGUAAUUAGGAUGUUAUAGACUUAGAAUCUGUGAAAAUUUUACUUCACCCCUAUUCUGUGUGAAUAUGGAGUUAAGGUCACUUAUUCGAAGGUCUAUCCUAUUUAGAUUACACAUAACUGGUAUGCACUCACAAAUAGNACUUCACAAAUAGCGAUGUAACUAAUGAAGGUUUUCUAAAUAAUUAUCUAGAUAGUUCGUCUAAUAAUUAGUUUCUUACCCCAAUUCUCGCAUAGAUAACAUAGCUGGACUCCAUCCCCACGGCAACCAGUAUCUUCCAAACGAAUUCAUAGUUGGUUGGUUUGGAGAAGAACCAGAUAAUGAUCAUCCUAUCCAUUUGAAUGAUCACCAUGAUGAAGACCUUUCGGACAAUGCUAACUCCAAACCCGAGGUUGAGAACCUACCCCAGGUAGCUCCUGUUCCAAUUCCUAACCCUCGUCGUUUCUUAAUGGCCCGAGGCCUGGGUGGGUGGAAUGCUUGGAAACAUGGAGCCAAGGACAAGAUCAGCCUAUGCCAUUUAAUGGUGACCGAAGCUUUUAUAACCUAAGCAAUGGGGGCUCAGUAGACAGAACCUUGCCAAUCUUGGUCUGUAGAGUGGCCCGAAAUGAGAUUCAAGGCAGGACAGUCCUACAUCAGAUUACUGAAGUUGUCGCCGAUGCAAGAAUGCAUACCCUCCGCACCAUUCGUCUAGAAGAUGCUCGCGAAAGAUCUGAGAGAAACCAAGAAACCCUGCUGCAAGCACUGGCAGAAUCACGAGCCGAAUUCAUAGAGCUCCGAGGACGCCAUAGGGUGUACAAAAGACACCUACUUGACGUGGAACGUCAAUUGGCUGAACUGAGAGUUCACCAGAGGGAUGGCUGUCCCCGGUAGUAGAUGCUUUACUUUAUUUUCCUUAUUAAAAGGAAUUUUUUUAUGUCUAUGCCCGAUGUGGCAUUUUCUAUGAAAUUAUCUUGUACCGUAAGUACUUUUGGUUAGGUCUUUAUGCUGUCAGGAACUAUCUUCUCUGGAUAUGAUGUAAGACCUUUACAAGGUCAUUUUCCCGAAACUUUACGUCGUGAAUAUCAAAGAUAUUGACAACCGGCUAACUUCUGUUUCAUUCUUCAUUCAAGUACUUUUAUCAUAUUUUCAUUGGAGUCUAUCUGAAACCUGCUUUAGUCAAGUCAUUGGACUAUAGUAAUUUAGCUCCGGAGACAUUUCCAACUCUCUUUCAGUGGUUGGAUCAUGUUAUUCACCAACCAAUGAUACCUCGGCUUGAACGAAAAACGUCUUGAGACCAUUCUACAAACUUACUUCCACCCGUUACUAGGACUGCAUCAUAGGGAUGUAGGUCAAACCUUCACGAUCAUACUUCAAAUCCGUACUAGGACUGCAUCAUAGGGAUGUAGGUCAAACAUUCGAGAACAUACUCUUACUCUUUUCUUGAGCAGUCGAAGUACCUCUAGGGUCAACCAGAAUCGCUCACAAAUUUAUUUUCUUUCCGUGAAACAGAAUCAUUUCGUCAUCCAGAAAUGAUCAGCCGAACACCAAAACCCCUAUCCUCCAUAUCGACGCCGCUACAUUACAAGUUGCAGUAGCAGCUGCUGUGACAACUUUCCUUACACACAUCAACUCAGGCAACACAAACAAGACUGAAAAAGGAGUCGAGAGUUCCGAUGGUAGUACCAAACUGGGAAACCAACAAAUGGCAACAAUCAUGGACUUGCGAAGCCUAAAGACCGAAAGGAAUAGACGAUAUCGUAAAGCCCUAAGGGAGCGCAAGAGAGCCCAAAGACUUGCCAUGCCACAGCCACCAGUGGCAACUCCGGCAGAACGCUUUAGGAAGCAAUUUUCAAAGUGGAGUAAUGAGGAAGGCACUCGUGUCCACAUAACACUGGCUAAACACCGAAAUCCCGUCACCAAUGCAAGUACUAGCCAGUCAUGCCACCAAUGCGGUGAGAUAGGGCACUUCAAGAAGGAUUUCCCUAUAGCAAAGAACUCUGGCGCAGAUGGGAGGAUUCUCAGGAUCACAGCUGCAGGAGAGCCUACUCCGGAACCCUCGUUAAUGUAAUUUAGGCGUGUUGUUGUAACAGACUUAUAAAGUAUCCAGAACUAGUGCAACUAGAGUUUUACCUUUUUGCGAGAUCCUGUCAGUAUAAGGAUGCUCGUGCUGCGUAUACUUGUCUUUUGUAGUAUACCUUAUUCGUAGCAAUGGUCUUGUCAUAAGUCUAAAGUAUUGUAAAUCUGUUGAUGGUUGAACGGUUGUGUUUUGUCUGUAAAACGUCUUAUGUUCAAAUCUAAUGUCUUUUAAAUUUCAGUAUGAUUCCGACAUUAUCAUACGACUCAAUUCAAUUUGAUCCUCAUGAAAACAGUUUCAUACGUACGUCUCAUUAUCAGUAAACGUCUUUUUAGCGAAACCGUCAUAUCAGAACACCAAAGUACUCAUGCAUGGACUACCUCAUAGUUCUUUUCUUUCUAAAGAAAUCCCCGAAGUACCACUCAUGCAGUACGUCAAGUUCAAUCCAAGGAUUCAUGCGGUUGAUAUAUCACUGAGGAGUGUAUACAUAAGAGUGAUAUAUAAUCAAGGUUCUACAGGUUUAGAAUUAAUGAUUCCACUUUAACUUCUUUUUCCUCGAAAGGAUGUGAGCUUAAAGAAGAAUCAGUUAUUCGACUACCUUUUCAAUCUUAAUUAUAUACGACUCGUAUACACGAAAUUGUGAUUGUAAAACUAUGUAUGAAUUCUAAUAUGAACUUCAGGACGGAGAAUUGCUCAAGACUACGAGUAAUCGCAUCCUCAUGUGAACAAACUUAGAACCCAGUAAGACUUCUAUAAACAGAUUUCCCUACAGCCUAAACACCUACGGAGAUACAAGAACAGUCAGGACAACUUAACGAGCUACACAAAAAUAAAACUGGAAGGGUAGGCUUCUCACCCUGGAGAACUCCGGUCUUAUUCGUCCAGAGAUCGAAGGAUUGCAUCGUAUGUACCUCGGCUAUCGAGGACUCCGUCAAGAUUUUCCAGUAGAAAUCGUUAUGUCUGCCUCGCAUAAAUGUAUUGGUUGAGCAAACGCAAGGAAAGAAUUACUUUUAGAAAUGGAGCUGAGAUCCGAAUAUCACCAGUUUAAGUGUUAGGGAAGGAUGCCCGGAAGACUAUCUUCCGAACUCGAUGCGGACACUUCGAGUCCGUAGUGAUACCCUUCAGAUAGGACCAAUAUGCCCAUAGUUUUCAUGAGCUAAAUGAGUAGGGUACGUCUUUCUUACUUGGAUCAAUUCGUCAUUUCUCCAUGUAAUGACUUACUUAUCUACCCUCGUAGUAAGAAGAAACCCCUGGAAAAAUUACCUUCAGAGGAACUUUCGCAAAGUUCUCUAAGCACAAGUUUUGAAAUUGAAGAGUCAGGUUCCUAUGACACACUGUUAGUGAUGUGGGAAUUUUUGAGUACUCUUUCAAUUUGUCAAAACUGUUGAAAGUUUGUCGACACCACAGACGCCGACAUACAUUCGCCAAAUUCUAGGUCUUACAGACCUACUGUCAGAGUUCGUCCAUAACUCCUCGCAAAUCACAAAAACCUGUACGACUUUGACCUGGUAAGGGGUGGCCCUUGACUGGGAAAGUUUAGCAAGAAAAGGAAACCUUGGAGAUUCCAAGUGAGAGACCAAGUUCUCUAGGAAGUCUCACUCUGGGAAUGGCUUAAUACGCUUCAUAAAGUAUGGAAAACUAAAUCCAAGAUAGAUAGGACCUUCGAGAUUCUUACCAGAAUCGGUCCUAUACCUCGCACAAACUAGACCUACUCCGCGAACUCGGUAACGUACAUUUUACUUUUUGCGUCUCGACCUAGAAACCAUACCUUUCCGUUAGGACUCUUGUAAGUCCACCUGUCGAGAUCCUCGCCUUCGUAUUAGAAUCGUAGUGACCCUCGACCGAGAGGUCAAGCGUACGAAGCAACACAGUCGCCCGUUAGUGAAGGUUCGUUGGGAUACCAACCGAGGACCCGAUUUCACUUAGAAGCACUAGAACCAAUCGAUUUGGAAGUUUCCUCCUCACGACUCGAUCAUUCAUACCUACUUCCUUACCUAAAUUCUAAUUUCGGGACGAAAUUCCCUUUAACAGGGGGAUGAUGUGACAACCCGAAAUUUCCAUUCAGUCAAACCCUAAAAGUCAACCACUUCGUAUCAUAAGUUAAUGUCAUCCUUUCUUAUUUUUAAGAAAUUUAAAGUUUGUUUGAUUAUUUUAAUAUUAUUUUUAAACAAACGGGUGAAAGAAAGUGCCGUCUUGGGUUUUGAAUUUUAAAAAUCGCAAACACCUCGCGUCUUAGAAAUUCCCGACCAAACUUUUAUGUUUUGGUUGAAAAAUCACCCAAAAAUCGUGGACUCAUACCUAUGUAUGAGUUUACUCCCCAAAAACUAGCCAUUUGUGUUUACUCCCCAUUUUCUAAAAGAGUAAACUCCAAACUCUCUUAAGUAUCAUCCUAGUUUUUGUUAUAGAUCUUCAAACUAGUAAGUGUUCUAACCCUUUCAAGUUAGUAUAUCACUUAAUCUAGUGAUUGUACAUCCUUUGAUCCAUUCAUUUAUGUGUUUUGACUAGUUUUUCGAAAACACCAAGAACAUACACUAGUGUUUUUGGAUUUAAGUUCAUUUCAAGCUUCCACAAUGGAAGUACUUCUAUCCUAGAGUCAUUUUAAGCUAGCUAUACAUGUUUAUACCAAGGAAAAGUCCCAAGAACACCAAGAACAAGGUGUUCACGGUUUUGGGAGGCUCCCUAAACCGUAAACACCAAAUAUAGUGCCUUAGGGUGCUUUAGGGUGUCUAGAUGCUUCACAAUGCCUUAAGGAUGUGUCUAGAUCCAUCCUUGAUGAGUGUAUCACACAAAAAGCACCAAAAUCAUAUAUUUUUCUGUGUUUAUGGUUUAAGGAUCUCCUAAAACCGUAAACACCUCAAAUGUUGUGUAAAUGUCCCAUAAAUGGCCCAUGGUUGUUCCUUAUGGCUAGAAUCUAACCUAGACUAGUGCCAUGUUUGAGCUAAGUACUGAAAACCGCCAAAUACC
rnacentral:lncRNA from 1 species